GACGAACGCUGGCGGCGUGCCUAACACAUGCAAGUCGAACGGACGGGCCCUGCUUUUGUUGGGUUCUCGAUUGGCGAACGGGUGUGUAACACGCGAGUAACCUGUCCUUAUCAUAGGGAUAACUCUUGGAAACUGGGGCUAUUACCGCAUAGGAUCUCCUGCUGCAUGUUGUGGGUUGGAAAGAUUCGGCGGUUGGGGAUGGACUCGCGGGUUAUCAGCUGCUUGGUGGGGUAGUGGCUGACCAAGGUUACGACGGCUAGCCGGCCUGAGAGGGCGACCGGCCACAAUGGGACUGAGAUACGGCCCAGAAGCCUACGGGAGGCAGCAGUGGGGAAUAUUGCGCAAUGGGCGGAAGCCAGAUGCGGCAACGCCGCGUGCGGGAUGACGGGCUUCGGGUUGUAAACAGAUUUCGCCUGUGACGAAGAGUGAGUGACGGUAAUGGAUAAGAAAGCACCGGCUAACUACGUG
rnacentral:rRNA from 1 species